UGUUAAAAAGUUAAUCCAUUUAUACUGUUAAAAACUAUGUAGCUGAUAGAAUAACCAGACAAUAACACGUGGCAUGACAGGUGUAGCUCAUGUUGACAUACAGAGACCGAUUUUUAACAGUAGAAAUGGAUGAAACUUUUAAUA
rfam:Gossypium raimondii Chr02_contig_1466, whole genome shotgun sequence.